AGGAAGGCAGCAGUAGGGAAUCUUCGGCAAUGGGGGCAACCCUGAUCCAGCGACGCCGCGUGAGUGAAGAAGUAUUUCGGUAUGUAAAGCUCUAUCAGCAGGGAAGAAAAAGCGCAAGCAUUGACUGUACCUGACUAAGAAGCCCCGGCUAACUACGUGCCAGCAGCCGCGGUAAUACGUAGGGGGCAAGCGUUAUCCGGAUUUACUGGGUGUAAAGGGAGCGUAGGCGGCGAUGCAAGUCAGAUGUGAAAACCCGGGGCUCAACCUCGGGACUGCAUUUGAAACUGUAUUGCUUGAGUAUCGGAGAGGUGAGUGGAAUUCCUAGUGUAGCGGUGAAAUGCGUAGAUAUUAGGAAGAACACCGGUGGCGAAGGCGGCUCACUGGACGAUAACUGACGCUGAGGCUCGAAAGCGUGGGGAGCAAACAGGAUUAGAUACCCUGGUA
rnacentral:rRNA from 1 species